UCCGUUUGUUGCUUCAUUGAUUUUUCUGUAAUUCCUCAAAGAUUCCACGCCGUCACAGGCAUUCGCCGGCAAUUCCUCCGGCGAAACCCAUAAUCUCGAACUCCCUAUAUUUGAUUUGAUGCAGAAUGUUCGUUACCAUUCGCAUUCAGAUGGUUGAGCUCAUUCGUGUGACUGUCAGGCGGUGAAUUGAUCGAAAUCGGAGUUCUCGGGGUAGAUACAGGUUUGGUAACUGAUAUUUCAUGGUCUAUGUACUUCGAGCUUUCUGGUUUGCGGCAUGAGUGAAUGAGAGAACUCUGGCUUUCGCUACAGUGAUCUGUAAUGUGGAAAAAGAAAAAUGAAUUCAUGAGCAUCUUGAUCUUAACGACGAAAGCAUGCUUAAAGUAAAUUUAUGUCUCGACACUGAGAAUAGGCAGAAAAACAGCAGCUGAUUAAAAUUAAUUAGAUAGAACUGAAGGACAUUUGUCACUCUUGAUUUAGAAUUGAAGCCCCAAUUGCACGUUUUUAUCUUAAAAUGGAGAUGAAGAUAUUUCACUUUUUACAACAUCACUAUAUGUUGUUUCACUCCUCUUCAUCAAGGAAGACUUUAUUCCUUCUAUUAUUAGCAAAAAUAAUAAAUGUUGCUAGUUGUAUGAAUUAUUGGAAUUUAUUUGUGGUAACAUGGGACUAAAAUGUUACCAUAUGAUGUUUAUUUCUUUUUUUUUUUCAAAGGUAUACCGACAUUCUAUCCAUAAUACCACUGAGUUUUCUCCA